rnacentral:rRNA from 1 species
AAAUGAGUGGCGAACGGGUGAGUAACACGUAUGCAACCUACCCCUUACCGGGGAAUAGCUUCGAGAAAUCGAAAUUAAUACCCCAUAAUAUUUAACUUGGGCAUCCUUGUUAAAUUAAAGUUCCGGCAGUAAGGGAUGGGCAUGCGGCCCAUUAGCUUGUUGGUGAAGGUAACGGCUCACCAAGGCAACGAUGGGUAGCUGGUCUGAGAGGAUGAUCAGCCACACUGGCACUGAGACACGGGCCAGACUCC